GUGAGGAAUAUUGCGCAAUGGAGGCAACUCUGACGCAGCCAUGCCGCGUGCAGGAAGAAGGCGCUACGCGUUGUAAACUGCUUUUAACCGGGAAGAAACCCCAGGACGUGUCCUGGGUUGACGGUACCGGAGGAAUAAGCACCGGCUAACUUCGUGCCAGCAGCCGCGGUAAUACGAAGGGUGCAAGCGUUAUCCGGAUUCAUUGGGUUUAAAGGGUGCGUAGGCGGAGCGUUAAGUCAGUGGUGAAAUCCUGCAGCUUAACUGUAGACUUGCCAUUGAUACUGGCGCUCUUGAGUGCGCUUGAAGUGGGCGGAAUGUGCCGUGUAGCGGUGAAAUGCUUAGAUAUGGCACAGAACACCAAUUGCGAAGGCAGCUCACUAAGGCGAUACUGACGCUGAGGCACGAAAGCGUGGGGAGCAAACAGGAUUAGAAACCCUUGUAGUCC
rnacentral:rRNA from 1 species